rnacentral:rRNA from 1 species
UGGGGAAUUUUGCACAAUGGGGGAAACCCUGAUGCAGCGACGCCGCGUGAUUUAGAAGGCCUUCGGGUUGUAAAAAUCUUUUCUAUGGGAAGAAAAUGACAGUACCAUAGGAAUAAGGACCGGCUAAUUACGCGCCAGCAGCCGCGGUAAUACGUAAGGUCCGAGCGUUGUCCGGAAUCAUUGGGCGUAAAGGGUACGUAGGCGGGUAAGCAAGUUAGAAGUGAAAUCCUAUAGCUCAACUAUAGUAAGUUUUUAAAACUGCUCAUCUUGAGGUAUGGAAGAGAAAGUGGAAUUCCUAGUGUAGCGGUGAAAUGAGCAGAUAUUAGGAGGAAUACCGGUGGCGAAGGCGACUUUCUGGCCAUAACCUGACGCUGAGGUACGAAAGCGUGGGUAGCAAACAGG